rnacentral:rRNA from 1 species
CGAUGCGAUCAUACCAAGCACUAAUGCAGCGGAUCCCAUCAGAACUCCGAAGUUAAGCGUGCUUGGCGAGAGUAGUACUAGGAUGGGUGACCCCCUGGAAGUCCUCGUGUUGCAUCCC